ACUGACUGGGUCACCGGUGAAGUUCUCCGCAGGAACUGAGUCAGACCCCAUCUCAGGGCCCUGCACAAAAUAGGUGCCUGCUCUAAGGCGUGGACCCUCGCGACAGCCCUGGCCCGUCUUGACGGGCGACGGUUACUGUACUUGUCCCAACCGUACAGAUGAGAAAGCUGAGACUCAGGGCGAGCAACCCCGGUCCCAGCGGAGCGCCCGGCACGCGCCGACAAUUCAGCACCAGCAGCGGUGGCCACCACUGUGCGCGGAGAUGGCUGCGACGCGUGCGCAGAUCUCGAUCCCAAACUCCCUCCUGCCAGAAUCUGGACCCGAAUCCACGCAUUGCCCAUUUUCCUCUGCCGCUGGAGAGAAUCUCUGAGGUCCCCAGGACAGCCUGCCUGCACGGAAGAGAUGCCCCCUCAAUUAAAUGCUGUUUUCCAUGACUGUCUCUGUUCUUCCCAUAGGCGAAUGGCAGGCAUCCAGAUCUCCAAGAACAGAGGAUUAGGAGAGACUCCACCACCUAUAUCCUCACAGUUAAUUAUCGAUUUGUGUCAGUUGCCCAUUUUCUCACUUCCUGUUUGUGUGUCAAGGAGUAUUAAUAAAUCUUUGCCUAUUUAAAGAUAUUAGCCUUUGAUUUUCAAGUAUUGCAUAUUUUGACAUGUAAAAAUUUGUUAGUUUUAUUUUUUCAACAGAUCUGACCUAUAUAGUUGGGCUUGAGGAAGCUUCCUCAUUCUACAUGUUACUAUGGAUUUUCUAAUAUUAACACAGAGUUGUAUUUUUUCCAUAUAACUUUCUAUUGAAUUUCUUUUUCCAUAUGAUAGGUGGUGAAGGUUUAGCCCAGUAAAGCAGAGAGGUUAAGAAGUUAGAAUGGGGGCUCUGGAUCCAGACCUGUGUAGAUCUGAGUCCUGGCUCUGGCACUUGAAAGCCGUGUGACCUUGGUUAAGAUACUUAGCCCCUCUCUGCUAAAUGGAGAAAUAAGGGCACCUACCCCAUAGGGUAGUUGUGUGAUUACACAAGUUAAUACACUUCAAUCACUAGCAAGAAAGUGAAUGUCAAGCUGUAUUUGUUCAGGCAGCCAUAUGGUAGCCCCACCUCAUUAGUAAACUGAGGUAUUGAAGUAUCUUCUUUUUCUUUCAGAAAAUAUUUGUCAAGCACCUUCUGUGUUCUAAGAACUGUUCUAGAGCUUUGCAUGCUAUGGAGGUCUAGAAAUUCACAUUAUGGUGGCAGGUGACAGACAAUACAAAGAGAUAAAGCAAUUUCAUAUAGUGAUAAGCUAGGGAGGAGUGCUAAAAGGAGCCAAGGUGUAGUGGUGACUGGAAGGUGACCAGAGAAACCGCUGUAGGGUUUCUAAGUGAUGAGAUCUGUGACAAAUCCCUGUGGUCAGCAGCGGGCAUUGGAUAUGUAACUUUAUUCUGUCCCAUUGAUCUUGUAGUCAACCCUGGUCUGUUCUGUAUUGUUUUAAUUACAUAAUCUUUGUAAUAAUCUUUAA
rnacentral:lncRNA from 1 species